GAGUACUGUAUAUACAUACCUAAAUAUACUCUUUCUUUUCAUGGUCCCUGGCUAUGUGUCGAGAGAAGAAGGAAGAACAGAGCCUUCAUUGUCAGUGAUGUCAUACCCUCACCCUCACUACCUCUCACCAGCCCUCACCUCGCACUCCCUCCCCUGCUGUGGUUCCAGCAGCACUUGCAGGUGUUCAGAUCAAGCUUCCAGAAGAUGAAACCAGCACCAUGGGUUAUGGUGAAAGGCUGUGAUAGCUGUGAGAGUCAGGGCAGAGCAGAGAGGAGCAGAGAACACUUCAGCAUCUGAUGGGUUGUGAAGACGGAGAGAGGAGGGAGCCUGCAGAGAGCAGCUUCCUGAAGGACCUGUUGGUGCUCCACACCGCUCCUUAUCACCACAGCCAACAUAUGUCCUGAUGCCAAGCCAGGGGUUUGUGUGUGUGUGUGUGUGUGUGUGUGUAUGUGUGUACUGAUAGGGG